rnacentral:rRNA from 1 species
CAUCCUCCAAGGCUAAAUACUCCUGACUGACCGAUAGUGAACCAGUACCGUGAGGGAAAGGCGAAAAGAACCCCGGCGAGGGGAGUGAAAAAGAACCUGAAACCGUGUACGUACAAGCAGUGGGAGCACCCUUUGGGGUGUGACUGCGUACCUUUUGUAUAAUGGGUCAGCGACUUAUAUUCUGUAGCAAGGUUAACCGAAUAGGGGAGCCGGAGGGAAACCGAGUCUUAACCGGGCGUUAAGUUGCAGGGUAUAGACCCGAAACCCGGUGAUCUAGCCAUGGGCAGGUUGAAGGUUGGGUAACACUAACUGGAGGACCGAACCGACUAAUGUUGAAAAAUUAGCGGAUGACCUGUGGCUGGGGGUGAAAGGCCAAUCAAACCGGGAGAUAGCUGGUUCUCCCCGAAAGCUAUUUAGGUAGCGCCUCGUGAAUUCAUCUCCGGGGGUAGAGCACUGUUUCGGCUAGGGGGCCAUCCCGGCUUACCAACCCGAUGCAAACUGCGAAUACCGGAGAAUGUUAUCACGGGAGACACACGGCGGGUGCUAACGUCCGUCGUGAAGAGGGAAACAACCCAGACCGCCAGCUAAGGUCCCAAAGUCAUGGUUAAGUGGGAAACGAUGUGGGAAGGCCCAGACAGCCAGGAUGUUGGCUUAGAAGCAGCCAUCAUUUAAAGAAAGCGUAAUAGCUCACUGGUCGAGUCGGCCUGCGCGGAAGAUGUAACGGGGCUAAACCAUGCACCGAAGCUGCGGCAGCGAACGUAUCACCCAAGACAACUUUACGGAGUUAACGAUUGACGGAGCGAAGCGACGUCAAAGCGUUCAUUAAAGUCGAGUUGGCUUAGGGAUACGUUCGUUGGGUAGGGGAGCGUUCUGUAAGCCUGUGAAGGUGGCCUGUGAGGGUUGCUGGAGGUAUCAGAAGUGCGAAUGCUGACAUAAGUAACGAUAAAGCGGGUGAAAAGCCCGCUCGCCGGAAGACCAA